ACGGACAUUUCCAUUGAACGACAUCGAAUUACCCGCUACACACAAUGAAGGUGUUCCUGAUCAGUUAUCUUCUGAUAAUCGGCUUGAUUGUUAGUACUGUGAUGACUAGUGAAACAGCUGGUCUGAAAGGACGGAGUGAUAGUGAUUCUGGCCAACAUGCAGUCAGUGGAGAACGUCAAGUACGGAAUAUGGUCUGCCCCUAUAGAUUUGAACCCUGCAGACAUAAACCCACUGGCUGUUGUUUAAAGCGGGAGUUUUACCCUUGAGUCGUAGGGAGAUUAUAAACA